CAUAAGCUGCGUUGUUCGUAAUCAUAAUAAAGUUUUAACCUUUAAGCUGUAAAAGGGAGUUUUAAUUGAAACAGGAAUGACAAGCCUCUGUCUACAAGACAUGGAGGACAUGCAGGAUAGUUUCUGCGAACACCCACUUUGAGGAGUGGUGGUUUAAAACUUUCUUAUAUUAUCUACGGCAAAUGCGGCUCCUUA
rnacentral:other from 1 species